AUAAAACAAGUCUUAUGUAUAAGUUAAAAGGAACCUCUUUAUUGAUAUUUAUCAUAUAACCUAAAAACCUAAGAGAGAAAUUCGAAUUCCUCCAAGACCUAACUUCAUUUCAGAAUAUAAACUUCAAUUCUCCAUGUUUUAAGGCUUUAGGAAGAGUGGAAAAUCGAAUUGGUGCUCGUUUUGGCAACGACAGUGCAAGUAGAAAGUAAGGCAGCUUUUGACGAUAUUUUGGACUAGUUUGGUUGUUGUGUGGCCACUUGAUUGAUGGUCAGUGAAGGGAGAAGGGCUGAGCCGUGCUAAUGAUGGAGAAGGGUUAGCCAUCAAGUGUUCCUAGAUAUGUUGGUUAGACUGUAGAUCAGUGUUGUGUUCCUGAUUACAGGUCUAUGGUUUAUAUUAUUGUUGCAGGGUAAUAUAUCAAUGUUAUAAUUGAUGAUUGAUACGAACUACAUUUCAUAUUUGAAGUGAAAUUGUUUUGAUAUCGUUUAUAUUUGUAAAUGCUUUUGAGAUGAACAUUAAAAAUGUUUUGUGUUGUAAGUAUUCGUUACUAUAUGAUAUACUUACUUUAAGUAUAUAAAUGUUUUAUGCUUGUUAUGUCUAUUCACUGAGCUUUCGCUCAUUUUAGUUGUUUUAAAACCUUUUCAGUUAGCAAGGCAAUCUACAGUACAAUUGACUAGAGAGGGAGUUGGGCUUAGAGUUUGGGCUUGAGACAUAGAGGUUGGCCACAUCUCCGAGUUUUGAGAUGCCUUGAUGUUUUUGUUUAGAAUAAACUUAUUUGUACCUAAAUAUAUAUUUU